GACGAACGCUGGCGGCGUGCCUAAUACAUGCAAGUCGAGCGAAGUUUUUCUGGUGCUUGCACCGGAAAAACUUAGCGGCGAACGGGUGAGUAACACGUAAAGAACCUGCCUCAUAGACUGGGACAACUAUUGGAAACGAUAGCUCAUACCGGAUAACAGCAUUAACUGCAUGGUUGAUGUUUGAAAGUUGGUUUUGCUAACACUAUAAGAUGGCUUUGCGGGGCAUUAGCUAGUUGGUGGGGUAAAGGCCUACCAAGGCGACGAUGCAUGGCCGACCUGAGAGGGUGAUCGGCCACACGGGGACUGAGACACGGCCCAGACUCCUACGGGAGGCAGCAGUAGGGUAUCUUCCGCAAUGGGCGAAAGCCUGACGGAGCAACGCCGCGUGAGUGAAGAAGGAUUUCGGUUCGUAAAGCUCUGUUGUUAGGGAAGAAUGAUUAUGUAGUAACUCUACAUAGUAGAGACGGUACCUAACCAGAAAGCCACGGCUAACUACGUG
rnacentral:rRNA from 1 species